GCCCACGUAGCUCAGUCGGUAGAGCACAUCCAUGGUAAGGAUGAGGUCACCGGUUCAAAUCCGGUCGUGGGCU
rnacentral:tRNA from 1 species